GUGGGGAAUUUUGCGCAAUGGGGGAAACCCUGACGCAGCAACGCCGCGUGAGUGAUGAAGGCCUUCGGGUCGUAAAGCUCUUUUAGUGGGGACGAAAUUCAACGUCGCAAAUACCGGCGUUGAUUGACGGUACCCACAGAAAAAGUUCCGGCUAACUCCGUGCCAGCAGCCGCGGUAAUACGGAGGGAGCAAGCGUUGUUCGGAAUCAUUGGGCGUAAAGCGCGCGCGGGCGGUUGCGCAAGUCGGACGUGGAAGCCCUUGGCUUAACCAAGGAAUUGCGUUCGAAACUGCGCGGCUAGAGUCCGGGAGAGGUGGGCGGAAUUCCCAGUGUAGAGGUGAAAUUCGUAGAUAUUGGGAGGAACACCUGUGGCGAAGGCGGCUCACUGGACCGGUACUGACGCUUAGGCGCGAAAGCCAGGGGAGCGAACGGGAUUAGAAACCCGUGUAGUCC
rnacentral:rRNA from 1 species